CACGCUUGCUUCACCUCCCCUUCUACAAUAAUCAAACGCAAAUUAGAAAUACAGCUCCCCACAGAUCCAAAACUCUCAGAUUCAACACCUCCAGAACUCACACUUCGACCCCAACAACACACACGAUGACUUCUUGGAGCCUUCGUGUUCUUGGCCUAACCUCAACCCUAAAACCCCGUGGGACCUCAAGCCCAGAGAACUCUCCAAUGAAACGCCACCGUCUAACCCUGACAACAAUGUUCCUUACCAGUUCGACCAUGACUCUUCCACCCUCGCUUCCAAGCUCCAUAGCCACCAGAUUUCCGGCGCUACUAAGUCCUCCUCCGCCGCUGCCAUCAUGCUCCAGCAGCAACUCUUCAUGUCUCGCGGUGCCAGCGCUAGAGCCAGCAAGUCUGGUCUGAUACAGAUGCCGCUUUCUUUGGGUGCCUCCGACGAUGUCGUUGAUGGGUCAUCGUCUUUCAAGUCUCCCAAUACAGGUUUGUAGGUGGAAAGGGAAAUCAUUGCAAGCAAUCCAAGUCUGAGUAGAAACAGUACUACCAGGAUUAAAAUGGUUCUGGGCUAUUCUGUGAUUGAUUUUACAAUCUGCAUACUAUGCUGCCAACCAUGUCUUCUUUGCUGGAUGCUGCUUCUCUCUUUACAACAAUCUGAACCUAAACAGGUCUUAAUUGCUACUUAGAGCUAGAGAGUAGUUGAAAAGGGGUAGAGACAAAUAAGAAAAUGAAUAUUGAUGAAACUGAGAAAAGUGCAAAUAUUAUCAAGAUCCUAAUGAAAUAGGAGUUGAUGGAAAAGGACAAUGGUAGGAAGAAUCAAGAAAUUGAAAGCCAAAUGUACACGGCUCAAGGAAAGAGCAAGGCAAUGCAGAUUUCUAUUGGUACUAGCUCUUAUCUUUUAAUGAUUGGUAUUGAGAAAAUUCUAUAAUGGAAGACUUGGAUAGGCCUACCAUAGCCACUUCCUUUGAACUUACAUAGGCUUGGACAUUUGAUCUUGAGGGACCAAUUUUUAGUUUCAAUCAGUGCAAGUACAAAAUAGGGAUUGGCUUUAAGGGAUCUCUUUUUCCUCUCCCCUUACCUCAUGAUAUAUUUUUUGUUUUACUUUGUAUUCUUGGAAUGAAUUGUCCUCUUUGCAAUGUAAAUUGAGGAGUUACAGUAAGAAUCCUAUAAUGGUG